rnacentral:rRNA from 1 species
UACGAAGGGUGCAAGCGUUACUCGGAAUCACUGGGCGUAAAGCGUGCGUAGGCGGUUCGUUAAGUCUGCUGUGAAAGCCCUGGGCUCAACCUGGGAACUGCAGUGGAUACUGGCGGACUAGAGUGUGAUAGAGGAUGGUGGAAUUCCCGGUGUAGCGGUGAAAUGCGUAGAGAUCGGGGAGGAACACCAGUGGCGAAGGCGGCCAUCUGGAUCAACACUGACGCUGAGGCACGAAAGCGUGGGGAGCAAACAGG